rnacentral:lncRNA from 1 species
ACGGAAUAGCCAAGUGAUUGGCAUGAAGAAUCUUUGGGAUAGUAAAGUCCCACAUACAAGCUUACUAAUAAUAUACUUCAUUUCCGUUUUAACCGCAUUAGGACGACUCCUUUUGGACAUGAUUCAUAUAUAACAAACGCUAAAUAUUACAUCAAGUCUACUAGCAGUGAAGUAAAGUAGGGAACAAUCAUACCUCGGUA